AAGCUUCUGUAAGUUUCCAAAAAGCCCAUAAUAAAACAUCUUAAAUCUUAAGAAGAAAAAAGGUGCUGCAGCAAACAAAUCUUUGUUUAGGGUUUUAGGAAAAGACCCUAAACCCUGCAGCUCCACUUAUCCUUUUAGCAAUGGCGUUUUGGGGAGUUGAAUUGAAGCCUGGUAAACCGUUCACUUAUGACUACGAAGAAGUGCAGGCAAGGCUUCACGUCUCUCAGGCGACAUUGGGCAGCGGCUCGGCAAACAAAAAAAGCAUAGUUCAAUGUAAAGUAGGUGAUAAAGAGCCAAUUUAUCUAUGUUCGUUACUGCCAAAAAGACUGGAGACGUGCCCAUUGAAUCUCGAGUUUGAGGAGGAUGAAGAUGUUACCUUCUUAGUUAUUGGUUCUCACAAUGUUCAUCUCUCUGGUUUCUUUUAUGGAGGUAGAGUGGCUUGCUGUGAUCCUGAUUUCGAGGUGGAGGGUGCUGCUGAGACUGAUAGUGAGUCUGAUGAUUCUAUCGAAUUUGAUUAUGACACAGAAGAUGAAUACGAUGAUGGCUCAACUGAUGAUGAUUUUAGCAUGUUCCCGCCUUCCCCUAUUCCCAAUCGUGGAGUGAGAAUUGAAGAGAUACUGGAGGACGAAAAACCUACAGAUGAAAAUGGUGCAUCCAAAAAGCCAAAGAAGAAGAAAAAUCAGUCAAAUGGGAUUGAGGACUCUAAGCGCCAGAUAGUCAUGGAGGGUAAUACUAACAGUUCUCUGCUGGAGAGUGAAGACGAGGAUGGCUUUCCAAUAUCUGCUCCCUGUGAAAACAAAGCUAAAUCAGUGACAUUGAAAAAAUCACAUGGAACUAAAUAUCAGGACACCAGUGAGGAAGCACCAAAUGAGAAGUCAAAAGAUAAAGAUGAUGAAAAUAAAGGAUUAAAAAAGAGACUUCGUGAUGAUACUAGCAAAGCUGAUGACCAUCAAAGAGGAGACAGUGCUAAGCAAAAUAAAAAGAACAAGAAGAAAAAGGUAGUGGAUGGGGAGGAACUGGCUCGUGAGGAUGUUUCAAAGAGCAGUGCCAAUCCAGAGCAUGUAGAGGGUGGCAAAACUGAAGAUGGACAAAAGUCAACUAAUGAGAAGGAUACUGGGAAAAAGAAGAAAAAGAACAAGAAGAAUCAACAGGAUGGCAAAGCAGUUACGGAGGUUGAACAAGGUAAGAAAAAUGAAUCACGUGAGGUAGAGGAGAACGCAGGAGCCAAGUCUUCUAAUGUGAGGACCUUUGGAAAUGGAUUGGUUAUAGAGGAACUGGCUAUGGGCAGGCCAGAUGGGAAAAAAGCUUCCCCAGGAAAGAAGGUUGGUGUACGUUAUAUUGGCAAGCUGAAGAAGAAUGGAAAAAUAUUUGAUUCCAAUAUUGGACAAAGACCUUUUGAAUUUCGUUUAGGUAUUGGACAUGUUAUAAAGGGUUGGGAUGUCGGUAUAAAUGGCAUGCGCAUUGGGGACAAAAGAAGAAUUACAAUCCCACCAGCCAUGGGGUAUGGGGCUAGACAUGUUGGUGACAUACCACCCAAUUCAUGGUUGGUAUUUGAUGUUGAGCUGAUAUACGUUGGUUGAUCUUGCCUUCACAUGGUGGAUGUAUUUUCCUUUUCCGCGGAAUCCUAGGAUUGUUGUUGCAGGCUUCUCUUUAAGCAAAACAUGUUAGCUUCACCUGCUGGGAGUAAAUUGUACAAAUUAUACAGAUGAAUGAUGACCGUAUUGCAUGCUAUUUUUUCUACCAUCUCCAAAUUCAAUUGAGUAAUAGUCAUUCUGAUAUUAAAUUUUAAUUUUAGUGAAAUUUGAAUUGAAGUCAAGGUUUAUCUUCUUAACUUCUCUUAUAUAUCCUUCUAUGGUGAUGUAUAAUUUUAAGUUUCCUUCUCCAUUUUUUGUCGUUGAUCGUUAUAUUCUUCAUAUUUUUCAAUCAAAUGAAUUCUUUUUUAUUUAAUAAAAUAAUUUUAAGUUUCCUUCUCCA